UAGAGUCCUAAUGACACCUGAAGACAGCUGAAAUUAUGUCGAUUUAUUUUCCUUCAUUUUAGCUCCAAUUUCUUGUCAAACAACGUUUUAUUUUGUAAGAACUAGCGUGAAAGAACGGCAAUAAAUUAGAACCUAAAGAUUUCAUUGUUAUAUAUAAUAAGAUAAGAGGGAAGAUCUUCUAUUUAAUGUGAUCUAUCAGAUGAUGGAUGCUUGCCAAUUUGCACAUGAAAACUCUGGAACUACUGGUCUAUUACAGGUGCUGUUAUGUAUGCGGGAAUGAGAAUUUCGUAUUUUACAAGUCCAGGGCCACCAAUUGAGGAGUGUAGGUCACUGGACGAAAUAUUCUUGUGUCAACGCUGGGAUUCAAACCUCCCUUCAGCUGGUCAUGGGAAUGACGGAAUAGCCCUCUCGCGUGUAGCAUCAUGCAUCCAGUUGAAAGGAACUAAAUGCUUCAUAAGGUGAGCAUAAUUGGUGCGAAUAAAAUACUGAUUGCUUAAUUUAUUAGGUGAAAGCAGUCAAUAAAAGAUUUUUCUCGCG